rnacentral:rRNA from 1 species
UACGUAGGGGGCUAGCGUUGUCCGGAUUUAUUGGGCGUAAAGAGCGUGUAGGCGGCCACCGCAAGUCAGUUGUGAAAUCUCUGGGCUUAACCCAGAACGGUCAGCUGAUACUGCGGGGCUAGAGUGCAGAAGGGGCAACUGGAAUUCUCGGUGUAGCGGUGAAAUGCGUAGAUAUCGAGAGGAACACCUGCGGCGAAGGCGGGUUGCUGGGCUGACACUGACGCUGAUGCGCGAAAGCCAGGGGAGCGAACGGG